AAUGAACAGAUUCUCAGCAAAAGGACUCUAAGGAUGCAGAGGAAGGGAAGUCACCCAAUCUGGGAAGGAGAUUACUCAGUCUCGGGUAUGUGUAUCAGCAAUGUGAAAACGGACUAGUACAUCUCUAGAGGCACAUGCCAUGUGGUCCAGCCAUAAUUAUUUGUUGUCACAACUAAGUUUCCUUUCUAUAUGAAAAGAUUAUAUUGAUCAGAAUUCUAA
rnacentral:lncRNA from 10 species